rnacentral:rRNA from 1 species
CCUACGGGAGGCAGCAGUGAGGAAUAUUGGUCAAUGGACGCAAGUCUGAACCAGCCAAGCCGCGUGCAGGAAGACGGCUCUAUGAGUUGUAAACUGCUUUUGUACGAGGGUAAACGCAGAUACGCGUAUCUGUCUGAAAGUAUCGUACGAAUAAGGAUCGGCUAACUCCGUGCCAGCAGCCGCGGUAAUACGGAGGAUUCAAGCGUUAUCCGGAUUUAUUGGGUUUAAAGGGUGCGUAGGCGGUCGGAUAAGUUAGAGGUGAAAUCCCGGGGCUCAACUUGGGAAUUGACUCUGAUACUGGUCGGCUAGAGAGUAGUAGAGGUAGGCGGAAUGUAUGGUGUAGCGGUGAAAUGCUUAGAGAUCAGACAGAACACCGAUUGCGAAGGCAGCUUAC